rnacentral:lncRNA from 1 species
CGAGUAGCUGGGACUACAGGCGUCCGCCACCACGCCCAGAUCCCUAUCACGUCCUCGACUUUCCUGCAAGAGGCAGAUUAUUACAGUCCCCUGGGAGCCACUCAGGGGGAGUCUCAGGGCACAGAGGUUAUUUGAUUCAAUUACAAGAAAUCUGAUGAGUAUCUACAAGGAACUCAGAGCUGUGGGAGAAGAGAAAAAAGUGCAUGAAGUAAAGAAAAAGCAGGGAAUGAGAGAAAAAAAUGGAGGAGUGAGUGCCACAGCCCAGUCAAUAUUUAGAAAUUAUUACAGGAACUUUUUCUGGACAGACAAGAACCUAAGUCUGAACAUCUAAAAGGCUCACAAAGAAUCAAGCAAAUUUAUUGAAAGAGACCAAUACUUAUUAGACCUAUCUUCGUGAACUGAAGAUCGAGAAAAAAAUUCCAAGAGGCAUUUGGACAGAAAAGCAUGUUGACUCCACAGGAACAAAAAUCAAACUGCAUUCAAAAUUCUCCUCUGCAAUGUCUAAUAGCAGGAGAAAUAAAAUAGUACCAACAGAGCUUCAAGGGAAAAAGACUGCAUUCUAAGAAUCCUAUAUUUAGGAAGUUGUUCAAGUGAAAGGGUAAUGGAAGAAAUGUUCUUAGAUGUGCAACUCACUGUUAUAACCUUUUAAACAAAGCCCUCGAAGACCUGAUUUAACUGACAGUGAAUGAAUCUAAAUACAGAGCUGUGGGAUGUGAGAGUCACAUCAGUGACCACUGAAACAAGUAUAAAGAAAAUUAAGUCUAGAUGAUUGUUUUACAUAUAAUUAUAAAACAGAAUAAAAGUGUAAAACGCAACUCUUGGAAGAGGAUAUUUAUAGUAUAAAAAUGGCCUAAUUAUAAUAAUUUGAACCUAAUGUUUUGCCGCACAAAAAUAGAAAUGAAGGAGAUAGAAUGGUAGGAGAAAACACUUAUUUCCUCAUUAUUCCCAAGAGGGAUAUUAUUUAACUCUUGAUAAAGAUAACUGGAAAUACAAACAGGAUGUAUCCUUUCUAAAUUACUAAAAAAAAAAAAAAACAAAAAAAACAAAGAAAAUAAAUUCCAUGUAACAAUCAUACUUUAUGUAACACACUGAAGUUUUUGGUCUUUAAUCUUCUUAUCUCCAGAGAUUGCUGUGACUCCUCGUCCACUCUGUAUCAUAGCAUCACCUCCAGUAUCAUUAAUGCAAGGCACCCCAUUUCUGACCACAGCUUCCUUCUUUUCCUUCUUGGCUUUAUUUUUAUUUCUUUAUUUAUUUUUGAGACGGAGCCUC